AUAACAAUUUGUGAUGCUUUAGGGAGCCUAUUGUUUGAUGGUUUAUAGGAGCCAGAUUUGUCUUUUUGACUAAUUUUCAACCUAUUCUUACUUCCAAAACUGUUGCAAUGGCUCUCGUUUUUGUUAAAUUUUUCUCUUUUCUCUUCUUUGGCAUAGUUUAUUUUUAAUAAAUUAUUUCAGGGUGAGAUAGAGAAAGAAUAAUGAGUAUCGUAGAUAAAUCUUCGGUUCCGAAUAGUGUAACUGUUGGUGCUGAGGUAAUCCAUCUUUAAAACCAUCGCCGUUAGAGGUUGCUUCUGAUAUUUUCGGUUAAGCGACCCAUGAAAUGGUGAUGACCUGAGGUAUGGAACAUUU
rnacentral:snoRNA from 3 species